GACGAACGCUGGCGGCGUGCCUAAUACAUGCAAGUAGAACGCUGAAGCGAGGAGCUUGCUCUUCUUGGAUGAGUUGCGAACGGGUGAGUAACGCGUAGGUAACCUGCCUUGUAGCGGGGGAUAACUAUUGGAAACGAUAGCUAAUACCGCAUAACAAUGGAUGACACAUGUCAUUUAUUUGAAAGGGGCAAUUGCUCCACUACAAGAUGGACCUGCGUUGUAUUAGCUAGUAGGUGAGGUAACGGCUCACCUAGGCGACGAUACAUAGCCGACCUGAGAGGGUGAUCGGCCACACUGGGACUGAGACACGGCCCAGACUCCUACGGGAGGCAGCAGUAGGGAAUCUUCGGCAAUGGGGGCAACCCUGACCGAGCAACGCCGCGUGAGUGAAGAAGGGUUUCGGAUCGUAAAGCUCUGUUGUAAGUCAAGAACGAGUGUGAGAGUGGAAAGUUCACACUGUGACGGUAGCUUACCAGAAAGAGACGGCUAACUACGUG
rnacentral:rRNA from 1 species